AUUGAACGCUGGCGGCAUGCCUUACACAUGCAAGUCGAACGGUAACGCGGGGCAACCUGGCGACGAGUGGCGAACGGGUGAGUAAUGUAUCGGAACGUGCCCAGUUGUGGGGGAUAACUGCCCGAAAGAGCAGCUAAUACCGCAUACGACCUGAGGGUGAAAGCGGGGGAUCGCAAGACCUCGCGCAAUUGGAGCGGCCGAUAUCAGAUGAGGUAGUUGGUGGGGUAAAGGCUCACCAAGCCAACGAUCUGUAGCUGGUCUGAGAGGACGACCAGCCACACUGGGACUGAGACACGGCCCAGACUCCUACGGGAGGCAGCAGUGGGGAAUUUUGGACAAUGGACGCAAGUCUGAUCCAGCCAUGCCGCGUGCGGGAAGAAGGCCUUCGGGUUGUAAACCGCUUUUGUCAGGGAAGAAACGCUCUGGGUUAAUACCUCGGGGUAAUGACGGUACCUGAAGAAUAAGCACCGGCUAACUACGUGCCAGCAGCCGCCGUAACAC
rnacentral:rRNA from 1 species